rnacentral:rRNA from 1 species
GAUGAACGCUGGCGGCGUGCCUAAUACAUGCAAGUCGAGCGAACGGACGAGAAGCUUGCUUCUCUGAUGUUAGCGGCGGACGGGUGAGUAACACGUGGAUAACCUACCUAUAAGACUGGGAUAACUUCGGGAAACCGUAGCUAAUACCGGAUAAUAUUUUGAACCGCAUGGUUCAAAAGUGAAAGACGGUCUUGCUGUCACUUAUAGAUGGAUCCGCGCUGCAUUAGCUAGUUGGUAAGGUAACGGCUUACCAAGGCAACGAUGCAUAGCCGACCUGAGAGGGUGAUCGGCCACACUGGAACUGAGACACGGUCCAGACUCCUACGGGAGGCAGCAGUAGGGAAUCUUCCGCAAUGGGCGAAAGCCUGACGGAGCAACGCCGCGUGAGUGAUGAAGGUCCUCGGAUCGUAAAACCCUGUUAUUAGGGAAGAACAUAUGUGUAAGUAACUGUGCACAUCUUGACGGUACCUAAUCAGAAAGCCACGGCUAACUACGUG